CACGGCGCACGGGUGCGUAACACGUGGGCAAUCUGCCCUUCGAUGGGGAAUAACUCCGGGAAACCGAAGCUAAUUCCGCAUAACAUUCCUUGGACCUCGGUUCGAGGACUCAAAGCCGUAAGGCGUCGAAGGAGGAGCCCGCGCACGAUUAGCUAGUUGGUAGGGUAACGGCCUACCAAGGCUUUGAUCGUUAGCUGGUCUGAGAGGAUGGCCAGCCACACUGGAACUGAGACACGGUCCAGACUCCUACGGGAGGCAGCAGUGGGGAAUCUUGCACAAUGGGCGAAAGCCUGAUGCAGCGACGCCGCGUGGGGGAUGAAGCAUUUCGGUGUGUAAACCCCUUUCGACCCGGACGAAUGCCUCGCAAGAGGAGUGACGGUACGGGUAUAAGAAGCCCCGGCUAACUACGUGCCAGCAGCCGCGGUAAGACGUAGGGGGCCAGCGUUGUUCGGAAUUACUGGGUGUAAAGGGUUCGUAGGCGGUGUGGCAAGUUGGGAGUGAAAUCUCUGGGCUCAACCCAGAGGCUGCUUCCAAAACUGCUGUGCUUGAGUGUGGGAGAGGCGCGUGGAAUUGCAGGUGUAGCGGUGAAAUGCGUAGAUAUCUGCAGGAACACCCGUGGCGAAAGCGGCGCGCUGGACCACAAC
rnacentral:rRNA from 1 species